rnacentral:rRNA from 1 species
AACGAACGCUGGCGGCAGGCCUAACACAUGCAAGUCGAGCGAGCAUUUCGGUGCUAGCGGCGGACGGGUGAGUAACGCGUGGGGACGUGCCCUUUUCUGCGGAAUAGUCCUGGGAAACUGGGGGUAAUACCGCAUACGCCCUUUUGGGGAAAGAUUUAUCGGAGAAGGAUCGGCCCGCGUUGGAUUAGGUAGUUGGUGGGGUAAUGGCCCACCAAGCCGACGAUCCAUAGCUGGUUUGAGAGGAUGAUCAGCCACACUGGGACUGAGACACGGCCCAGACUCCUACGGGAGGCAGCAGUGGGGAAUCUUAGACAAUGGGGGCAACCCUGAUCUAGCCAUGCCGCGUGAGUGAUGAAGGCCUUAGGGUUGUAAAGCUCUUUCAGCUGGGAAGAUAAUGACGGUACCAGCAGAAGAAGCCCCGGCUAACUCCGUG